rnacentral:lncRNA from 1 species
GCACUUCCUCCUAUGCCAGCUCACGGGGCUGGCAUCCUGGGCAGCUGCCAGGCACCUGCUGCUGACAAGAAAAGACCCAGUAUCCCAGCCUUUGUGGAGAGACGGGCCGGCUUGGAUUCCUGAGAAACGUGUGAGGUCCCAGGAGAAGCCCUUGCCAGGAUGUGGGCUGACUGGCCAGUGGUGGGAAGGAACUAAAACACUGUCCUGUCUGGUGGUGAACAAAGAACCAGCUGUGUCCAGGAACUGAGCCACUGCCCGCCAAUGCCCACCAUUGCCCCUGUCCCCACAGCUCUAGAGGACAUCUGGGUAGAAAGGACGCAGAGGCAGGACAUUUCAUCCGGCCUGACAGGCACAUGCUGGGAUCCAGGCAGGGGGCAGAAGGGAAGGUGGGGCUUCACACCUGCACACAGUCGAGUCCCUGCUCAACACACUCACUGCCUUGGUCUCAUCGUCCCACCAGGAAGGAUUCUCUCAGGCCAGAGAUGGAACUCUGCAGAGCCUUCAGCUUGGGGACGGGGGGAAGGGGGCAAGAAUGUACCUCAAGAGUCAGGCCACGGGGUUGGCAGCGCUCAAUUCUGGUCUCAAAGCCCGUCAUCUACGGUACUCAGACCCUCCCCAGCCUUACUGGGACCCCUAGGACUCAACAGAAUUCACUCUGUUUCUCUGACUUGUUGGGUAACCCCAAAACAUGUAACCUGUUAUUAUCUGUAGGGUUCGAUGGGGACCCCAGAAAGGAGUUGACGCUAACGUGUCUGCCUCUAGCACAUUAGCGGGGCUCUGGGUGGACACAAGAAGGACUGAACGGAAACCAGAUGAGAUAGAGAAGAACCUUGGGAGACAGAGGGAAGGCAUUAGACCACAGGCUGGAAAGCCAGAACACUCUAGAUUUGCGUUUCCCCACAGUACCUCCUAAGUGGUACCCAGAAGAGGCUCUCCUGGGAAGGGGCUCUGAGAGCUGAGCAGUGAUACGGUGUGCAGCAACGUGUUAUGGUCGCAGAGCUGCUUCUGCCUGGUGCCCAGCUUGACAUCAUACACUGCCCCCGUCGCCUCACUGGUCUUCCCCUGUCGCCUGCAAGCUGACAGA